GAUGAACGCUGGCGGCGUGCCUAAUACAUGCAAGUCGAGCGAACGGACGAGAAGCUUGCUUCUCUGAUGUUAGCGGCGGACGGGUGAGUAACACGUGGAUAACCUACCUAUAAGACUGGGAUAACUUCGGGAAACCGGAGCUAAUACCGGAUGAUAUUUUGAACCGCAUGGUUCAAAAGUGAAAGACGGUCUUGCUGUCACUUAUAGAUGGAUCCGCGCUGCAUUAGCUAGUUGGUAAGGUAACGGCUUACCAAGGCAACGAUGCAUAGCCGACCUGAGAGGGUGAUCGGCCACACUGGAACUGAGACACGGUGCAGACUCCUACGGGAGGCAGCAGUAGGGAAUCUUCCGCAAUGGGCGAAAGCCUGACGGAGCAACGCCGCGUGAGUGAUGAAGGUCUUCGGAUCGUAAAACUCUGUUAUUAGGGAAGAACAUAUGUGUAAGUAACUGUGCACAUCUUGACGGUACCUAAUCAGAAAGCCACGGCUAACUACGUG
rnacentral:rRNA from 1 species